rnacentral:lncRNA from 1 species
GAUUUUGGAAAGCAUAUCUUCGAGUGAUUUUAUUUUGAUUGUCAUUGAUGUAAUAGCUAUUUUUAAGAAGUUACUUUGUAUUAACUGUAAGAGCCCAUUUUUGCCCGGCCCAUAAACCAAUAAAAUAAAAAAAAGUCAAAUGAAAUAGCAGUCCAAAUUACAAAAACUCACUAGACCCAACAGUAAGCCCAACAUGGCUCAAACCCAAUUACACUUAGCCUAACUCUCCAGCCCCAAUACAUACUAAACCGAAUAACCCAUUAAACCCUAGCCCAAUCACCAUGCAGCCCAAAACAAGAUCAGAGGCAAGGAACCCUAGAAGCCCCAGCGCCGUUUCCCCACAAGUGCGCCUCCAACCUUCCCUCGGCCCCAUGAGCCUUCACACGCCUCAGCCGCCGCUCCAGCAAGCCAUCAAGCCGCCGACGCCAGCACACAUGUACGCUCCCCCACGCGCGCCUGCCUCUUCACGCAUAGCCUCCGUACAUGCGCGCCCGCGCACCUCUGUACCCGAACCUGCACAACAAACAAGCAGCAGAGACAACGAAAAAUGGGGAUUUUGUAUUUUUUUUAUUUUCUUUUCUCUCGGCCUAUAAAACAAAAGGCCGAAAUGUUUGUAAGGGAAUCAAUACAGAGAGAAUAUCAAUAUACACAAUAUCAAUAGAAAAGAAUCGAGAAAACAGAGUUUUCUUUGAGUUUUGGAAGGUGAUUUCAUUUAUUUUCGCAUUUCUUUGUUCUUUUUUCGUGGCUCUGUUAUUCAUUAGCAAUAAGAUAAUAAAAGAGAAAAUAAGGUUAGAGAGCGAGGGGUUUUACCUGUUUGGCCGGAUCUUCGUUGGCUCCGUCGCAAUCGGAGUCGGACGACGGUUCAAAGGCCUCUGAGCAAUCUUUGCUGAGCGGCACGACUUUGGGGGGGAGAAACGUUUAGUUUUUUUUUUAAAUUUGUUUAAGGC